rnacentral:rRNA from 1 species
UUACAGCCAUAUCACGUUGAAACGCCGGUUUUUGUACGAACACUGAAAUUAAGCAACGUCGAGCUUGGUCUGUACCUAGAUGGGUGACUGCUUGGGAAUACCAGACACUGUAA